ACNUGCAAGUCGAGCGGACAGAUGGGAGCUUGCUCCCUGAUGUUAGCGGCGGACGGGUGAGUAACACGUGGGUAACCUGCCUGUAAGACUGGGAUAACUCCGGGAAACCGGGGCUAAUACCGGAUGCUUGUUUGAACCGCAUGGUUCAAACAUAAAAGGUGGCUUCGGCUACCACUUACAGAUGGACCCGCGGCGCAUUAGCUAGUUGGUGAGGUAAUGGCUCACCAAGGCAACGAUGCGUAGCCGACCUGAGAGGGUGAUCGGCCACACUGGGACUGAGACACGGCCCAGACUCCUACGGGAGGCAGCAGUAGGGAAUCUUCCGCAAUGGACGAAAGUCUGACGGAGCAACGCCGCGUGAGUGAUGAAGGUUUUCGGAUCGUAAAGCUCUGUUGUUAGGGAAGAACAAGUACCGUUCGAAUAGGGCGGUACCUUGACGGUACCUAACCAGAAAGCCACGGCUAACUACGUGCCAGCAGCCGCGGUAAUACGUAGGUGGCAAGCGUUGUCCGGAAUUAUUGGGCGUAAAGGGCUCGCAGGCGGUUUCUUAAGUCUGAUGUGAAAGCCCCCGGCUCAACCGGGGAGGGUCAUUGGAAACUGGGGAACUUGAGUGCAGAAGAGGAGAGUGGAAUUCCACGUGUAGCGGUGAAAUGCGUAGAGAUGUGGAGGAACACCAGUGGCAAAGGCGACUCUCUGGUCUGUAACUGACGCUGAGGAGCGAAAGCGUGGGGAGCGAACAGGAUUAGAUACCCUGGUAGUCCACGCCGUAAACGAUGAGUGCUAAGUGUUAGGGGGGUUUCCCGCCCCCUUAGUGCUGCAGCUAACGCAUUAAGCACUCCGCCCUGGGGGAGUACGGUCGCAAGACUGAAACUCAAAGGAA
rnacentral:rRNA from 1 species